UACUCUUGGCAAUGGAUAUUUCUUUCUCUUGUUAUGAAAUGAAGAACACAGAAAAAUACAAAACUUGGCGUGAAUUACAUAAUCAUGUUAAUCAUUGAAUUUUUGAAUGAGAUUUUUGUUUGAGGCCUU
rnacentral:rRNA from 1 species